CGCGGGUUCCGCCUCCCACCCUUCUUUAGGAGAGGUCGCGCGCUGCCAGACAAGCUUUCGAAUCCAGCGAGCGGCGUCCCCGGUAGCGGCAGAGCAAGACCGCAGGUCUUCGUGUCGGAAUGUGCAGUCCACAGUUCUGAUGACUACGAAGGGACCCAAACAGACUUCUCAACUUCACCUGAACUCGAUGAGGACCUGUAGCUUGGUGCCAGCAGACACCUCUUGGGCCCAUCCGCCUCUUCAGAGACUCCAGAGGAAUCUGGGAAACAUCCUUACCAGGCCCACUGAUGAAUGGCUGCAGGAAAGAAGUUAACACAUCCCCUCCCAAAUCCAGCUGGAACCAGGAAACAUUUCAAACAACUUACUUUUUUUAACUUUACCUCCUUAGCUCCUCCCCUUCUUUGUUUUAUAAAAGUACCUAGCAUCCAAACCCAGGCAAGACACUUCUUCGGGACACUAAUACACCAUCUUCCUGAUCUGUUGGCUUUCCUAAUAAAGUUGUUAUUCUUUGCCCUGACAACUUGUCUCAAUUUAUUGGCCUGUGGUGUGACAAGCAGUAUAGUAAGACAUUUCAACUUGAACAAGUUAAUCCUAUCUCAACUCCAUACUAUCACCAAAGAAAACACUCAGCAAAUACCCUUGGGAUACAGAGCAGUAUAAAUUAUACACACACCAAUUAGUCAAACUGAUUAUGUGAAUCCUGUGGCUGCAGUUAACUAUAGCCAAAACACAAUGAGAAAACUAUGGUGACAGAAUUUUCUAGAGCAAAUAGUUCUAAAUUUUUCCCUACAAGGAUCUAUAAGAAAAUCUAAUGUUGAAAUAUUUGCCAAUUCAGCUUUAAAGUUAAAAAAAAAAAGAAAAAUGUAUUGCUUGAAUUUUCAACUGGUAAAGAUUCAGUGAUUCCAUUCCUUUGUGAAGACUGUUAAUUGUUUACAUUUAUUAUUCAACUACACGAUGCCAGCUACCAGUCAAGAGACAAAUCCUGUCUCUCACCCAGAGGAAGCCCUUGGAUUGUACCCAAAUGAGAAGAUGACCAGUUAAGCAUCUUUUAAUGAUCAUUCUGAUAUAAAUCUAAUCAAAGCUAUACACUUGAUGGCUUCUGGGUGAUGAAGUGAGACUGGCUCUCUGGGCCCGAGGACAGUUUCUUGGUGUGAGAGACACAAUUGAGAACAGGAGCAGGAAGGCCUGGUGACCAACUGGCUGGGUGUCCCUGGACAAUCAUUAACUUCUCUGGCUAUUACCUUUCUACUCUGUAAAACUGCAUGGAAGGUAGAAUUAGAUUAUAUGUUUAAGCUUCUUACAGGUGUCAGGUACUGUUCUUAUAAAGGGAAAGUAACAUUUUAAUGGUUGCUUAAUUUAC